CCUACGGGUGGCAGCAGUGGGGAAUAUUGGACAAUGGGGGAACCCUGAUCCAGCGACGCCGCGUGAGUGAAGAAGUAUUUCGGUAUGUAAAGCUCUAUCAGCCGGGAAGAAAAUGACGGUACCUCACUCAGCCGCCCCGGCUAACUACGUGCCAGCAGCCGCUGUAAUACGUAGGGGGCAAGCGUUAUCCGGAUUUACUGGGUGUAAAGGGAGCGUAGACGGUGCAGCAAGUCUGAUGUGAAAGGUCGGGGCCCAACCCCGGGACUGCAUGGGAAACUGUUGAACUGGAGUGCAGGAGAGGUAAGCGGAAUUCGUAGUGUAGCGGUGAAAUGCGUAGAUAUUAGGAGGAACACCAGUGGCGAAGGCGGCUUACUGGACUGUAACUGACGUUGAGGCUCGAAAGCGUGGGGAGCAAACAGGAUUAGAUACCCCAGUAGUC
rnacentral:rRNA from 1 species